ACUCAAAUGAAUAGACGGGGGCCCGCACAAGCGGAGGAGCAUGUGGCUCAAUUCGAUGCAACGCGAAGAACCUUACCAGGGCUUGACAUGCAGCUGCACGUCCCGUGAAAGCGGGAUUCCUUCGAGGGUGCUGCACAGGUGCUGCAUGGCUGUCGUCAGUUCGUGCCGUGAGGUGUUGGGUUAAGUCCCGCAACGAACGCAACCCCUGUGUUUAGUUGCUACCAGGUAAUGCUGGGCACUCUAAACAGACUGCCUGUACAAAACAGGAGGAAGGUGGGGAUGACGUCAAGUCAGUAUGGCCCUUACGCCCUGGGCUGCACACGUGCUACAAUGGCCGGUACAGAGGGAAGCAAGACCGCGAGGUGGAGCAAAUCCUUAAAACCGGCCCCAGUUCGGAUUGAAGGCUGAAACUCGCCUUCAUGAAGUCGGAUUCGCUAGUAACGGCGCAUCAGCUACGGCGCCGUGAAUACGUUCCCGGGCCUUGCACACACCGCCCGU
rnacentral:rRNA from 1 species